rnacentral:rRNA from 1 species
UCCUACGGGAGGCAGCAGUGGGGAAUAUUGCACAAUGGGCGAAAGCCUGAUGCAGCGACGCCGCGUGAGUGAAGAAGUAUCUCGGUAUGUAAAGCUCUAUCAGCAGGGAAGAAAAUGACGGUACCUGACUAAGAAGCCCCGGCUAACUACGUGCCAGCAGCCGCGGUAAUACGUAGGGGGCAAGCGUUAUCCGGAUUUACUGGGUGUAAAGGGAGCGUAGACGGCGUGGCAAGCCAGAUGUGAAAGCCCGGGGCUCAACCCCGGGACUGCAUUUGGAACUGUCAGGCUAGAGUGUCGGAGAGGAAAGCGGAAUUCCUAGUGUAGCGGUGAAAUGCGUAGAUAUUAGGAGG